AAAUAUGUCUGUCAAAACAGACUGAAACUAGUCCAACAAUUCUCAAAUCUUGACUUGAGAGCUCAAAGAAUAAUAAGCACCGGAAAAGCGUACUGGAAAAAUUAGUGCUUAAUUAAACCAAGAGGUUACACGUCAAGGUUAUAGGCUAAUCAAAUGGGAGCUACUUAACCCAAAAGACUAACACGCACUAGCACAAGACACUAGUACUUAACUUGCACGUACUAGCAUAAUACUUUUUCAAUGGAGAAGAACUACACUGCCUGGAGCUGAUUUCACUAGACGAGAAUCUGUAGCACAUACAGCAGCUAGACUAGCAACUAACUGAAAUCCACGAUUUUAGUUCUACCGAUUUGGACUGACCAACUCUGCUAGCCUAAAGACGAACGACAGAUAGCUGAAGAUGAACUAAAACCUGAGAAAAUUACGCCAAGCAUAAAAAUAGAAGGGAGCGAGCCAGUAGCAUCAGCGGAUGCUCUUCCGUUCGACAGAGAACGCCAAGAAAAUUGCUAGAAAUACAGCAACCCCAAAUCGAAACAAGAACAGAGGACGAACUCAGUAUGAACUCGCACAAAAUAAAUCACCAAAGAUAAAAUCUUGUGCCAUCCUCAGGAACCCAUGAAUAAAUUGAACAACAACCGGAUUUAAGGCUAGGGAUGGAUGCAUAUGAAUUUAGACAUGAUUUUCCAUCACAGAAAACCCAUUAUAGCCAAGGAAUCGUAGGGACAAAAUUAGUACAGCAGAAAAAUGAGAUUUGCAAGGACAAACAUCAGACCUCAACAAUAGCAAGGCUGCGAAUAAUUUGAGGAUUUAUUUCUCAGAUUUCUGGAGUUACAAGCCUCUCUCACAUUAAAUCCCACACAGGAAGCUCUCUCUCAAAUGUGCGGCGGCUGCUCUGUUUUUCUCCUCCUAGCGGCGGCAACUCUAUCUUAUGCCAAGAGAAAACCUAGCAGCUUACAUAUAAGGCUGGAUCAGCCUUCCACCGCCAUUGAAUGGGCCAUGGUUCCCACCGAAUGGGCCAAGCCCAAAACACUAAAACAAAUAGCCCUUUUUACUUAGCCACUUGUAAAUAACACUUUCCACUCUUAAGCAACACCACAAUCACUCUCUUGGUUUGCUUCUUAGUGGAUUUUGGUAAACAUACCAAAAUAACCUUCACUUGACAUGAUCUUCUCGUUUGCCUCCAUAUAGUCCUUGUCCAAAACUUGUGCGUUGCUUUGAGCCGCACGAUCCCGCACAACGUCCAUGGUCACAUCUUAGCUCUUCAAGCCUCAUGCCAACCAUCCUCGUUGUCGACUACCAUCGCACUCAUUGGAACCUGCACACAAUGGAAACAAGCAACUAUUGCGAGCACAAACUUCCUGAGCUUGACCCAAGUCAAUCCAAAUUAACAGUUUAAUACGAUCAACGCCAUCCAGAUAAGUCACAUAAAAUAGAUCAGGUCCUUGAUCCAACAAACUGGGAUUUGCAACCCCACUAAAAUAACUCUCAAAGCGAGCAAAAACAUUGGUAAUAUAAUCAUCACAAAAUUAAGGGUAUCACCACAUAGACUCACAAUCUCCCCCCUUGAUGUUUAUAUUGCCAACUCAGCUCUCAGGAAGAAAAAUUAGAGUUUUAGUUUUAACAGAGAGAAGGAAAGUUGAAAAAUCACACUUGGUCCUAAAGAAAAAAAUGUAGACAUGACCAAGUGGACAAGGUGGAGAGUGAAGCUAACACCCGGAUCCAAAGCUUCACUUCCAACUAAAACUCAUCAGAGAGAAAUCAACCUUGUUUUCACAAGUUCACAAGGGAAAGAACCAAGAUUUUUUUAAGUAUGAACGGCUCCCCCUAACUCCCCUCAACUUGUGUACAUACUGAGACUCAUACAGUGCUCAAUUUGCAACAUAUGCACUGUCCUAUUUCUCCCCCUUUGGCAUUAUAAGCAUCAAGGGAGAUGCCUCCCCCUCAAUUUAUGCAUAUGAGAAAACAUCAAGAUCGAGCAUGUAUGCAUGAAGUGGAAUUUAUGCAAUUGUACGAGCAUUGAAGAUUAUUCAGUUGAAGCACAUGAGAUAGAAAUGCUACUAGGCCAUGAUAAGUAAGAGCUCAUCUAGUCAUACUAAGACAUAUAGAGAAAAUCCUUGAGCUAGAUGCAACAAGACAUUCAAUUUCUUAGUAACUUUAGUUUUCACACAUGAUGAGUUAUUAUGUAGGCAAACACAUGGAAAAGAGACUAAACAUUGCAGGGCAUUACAACCUAGCGCUAAGCAAUGACUAGGAGGCACACCCGAUCAAAAAUGGAACAUUCUCGCUAUGCUGAUCAUCUCACAAGCAAAGUGCCACCUCUUGCACGAGCAGGCACCUUGAGUGAUUAAGUCAACACAAAAUGAUACACUUAGAAAUUCUAUGAAAAGGCACAAGCAAGGUACCACCUCCUGCACGAGCAGGUACCUUGAGUGAUUUUAUUUUGAUUUUAUGAAAAGGCACAAGCAAAGUACCACCUCCUACACGAGCAGGUACCUUGAGUGAUUUUAUUUUGAUUUUAUGUUAAGUCACAAGCAAAGCACCACCUCCUGCACAAGCAGGUACCUUGAGUGGUUUGAUUAAGAAAGUAUGGAAUAUGCACAAGCAAAAUACCACCACCUGCAUGAGGAGGUAUCUUGAGUGAUUCUUCACAAAAAAAUGCAGAUAAAAAGUAACUCAUGAAAGCAAGACUAGGGACUUGACAAGACAGUAGACCAUAUCCGACCUAAGUGACAUAGGUCUAAGCAAAACAAGUCUCUAGUGGUUCCAGGUGUGAUAUCAAAUGGAGUCCAAACUAGCUAGCCACAACAUAGAUCAGAGUUGCAAUACAAAGCACAAGUAGAUUCUCAAGUCAAGGUGAUCAACUAGCAUAGAACUCAUCAUAUGGUCAACAUGUUUAUUUAGUUCAACUUCAUUUCUAAUUAAAAGUAGCAUGCAAAGGGUUAUCCAUAUAUGGCAAACCAUGACAGGAUGAGCUAGACAAUAAGCAUAACAUGGCCAAGAGCAACUUCAUUAUGAAGAUUUCUUCAACAAAAGAAUCAUAAAAGCUCAAAGGUAUCUUACAUAUGAUGCAAGGUGCAAUAUGAUACAUAUGAACAAAGAAAAAACACAAACUCCCCCUUCACAAGAUCCCAUAAGGGCCGACGACCCCCAAAUCUCCCCGCAAAGAAGCAAAACGACUAACAUCCAAAGGUUUGGUAAAAAUAUCGGCAAGCUAAUGCUCAGUAUCAACAUACAUGAGCUCUAUAUCACCUUUCUCCACGUGGUCUCUUAUGAAGUGGUAGCACAGCUCAAUGUGUUUAGUUCUAGAGUGUUGGACUGGAUUCUUAGGAAUACUUAUCGCACUAGUGUUAUCGCAGAAAAGUGGAAUAGAAGAAAUGAAAAUCCCCAAAUCCUGUAAAGUAGAAGAGAUCCAAAGAAUCUGACUACAACUGCUCGCAGCUGCUACAUACUCUGCCUCGGCUGUGCUCUGUGCUGCACUAGAUUGCUUCCUAGAAGACUAAGAAAUAAGGGAAGUACCUAGAAAGUGACAAGUACCGGAAGUGCUCUUGCGGUCUAUCCUACACCCACCAAAGUCUGAAUCUGCAAACCCCCUAACUCCUAAACUAGAAGAACUAGAAAACCAUAGGCCAAAAUCAGGUGUUCCUUGGAGGUACCUUAAAAUGCGUUUGAUGGCUUGCUUAUGGGAGUCUCUUGGGGAAGCCUAAAAACGAGCACACAGGCAUACCGCAAAUUGUAUGUCUGGCCUCAUUGCAGUCAAGUACAGUAGUGAGCCAAUCAUGCUUCUGUAUUCUCGCUGGUCCACCACCUCACCAUUUUCGUCUACAUCAAGUAUUGUGGCAGUGGACAUUGGGGUAUGGAGUGGCUUGGAAUCGCUCAUCCCAAACUUCUUUAACAUGUCCUUCGUGUACUUGCCUUGAUAUACAAAGGUGCCCUGCUUUGUUUGCUUGAUUUGCAGUCCAAGAAAGAAGGACAACUCACCCAUCAUGGACAUCUCAAAUUCAUCACUCAUGUCUUUGGAAAACUUAGCACAAAGAGCAUUAGACGAGCCACCAAAUAUGAUAUCAUCUACGUAAAUUUGCACUAUAAGUAGUUCAUUAUGAUGCCUAAGAGUGAACAAGGUCUUAUCAGCUUCACCCAUUUUAAAACCUUUCUUGAUUAAAAACCCUUUGAGCCAAUCGUACCAAGCUCUAGGGGCUUGCUUAAGACCAUAAAGAGCUUUCUGCAAUUUAUAGACAUGGUUUGGGAGCUUGUCAUUUUCAAAACCAGGGGGUUCUUUUACAUAAACUUCUUCAUCAAUGAAACCAUUUAGAAAAGCACUUUUGACAUCCAUUUGAAAUAACUUAAAACCCUUGGAAGCAGAGUAAGCAAGUAAAAUACGUAUCGCCUCCAACCGUGCAACAGGUGCAAAGGUCUCAUCAAAAUCAAAAACCUGAAUUUGAGAAUAACCUGGAGCAACUAGGCGAGCCCUGUUGUGAACAACUUGGCCGUCCUCUCCCUGUUUAUUUUUGAAAACCCACUUGGUUCCAAUAACAUUUAUACUCUGGUCAAAUGGGGUUUUUACAAGUUGCCAUACCUUGUUUCUCUCAAAGUUCUCUAACUCCUCAUGCAUUUCCCUAAUCCAAUUUUCAUCUUCUAAUGCAUGGCUAACAUCUCGGGGCUCAAAAGAUGCAACAAAUGCAGUAUGUGCAAAGUCUGAGAAAUGAGUGGACCUGGAGCGCAAAGUACGCUCAGAGAUGUUGCCGAUGAUCAGAUCUGGUGGGUGAGCAUGAUGAAGACGUAGAGAUCCCUGAAGGACCUCAGAAGCAGGUGAGGAAAUAGUUGUGGUAGCCUCUGCCUCAGCAUCUUCCAUUGGAACAGAAGUGGUAGUAGGUUCUGCGGCAGGUGCAAGGGGUAUGGGGUUUUCCCCACACCAUCCUCAUUAUCUUCUUCAACAAAUAAGGUUUCAAAAACUUAUGGUGUACCUGAAAACUCGUGUCUAGCUGGGCUAGCCUCAUCAAAAGUUACAUCGCAAGUCUCUACCACAAGGUUAGAUUCUAAAUUUAAAACACGAUAGCCCUUCAUGUGAGCAGGGUAACCAAGAAAGAUACCAUCAGAAGUGCGCGACUCAAACUUGUCAAGCAGGCCCUUCUUUAGGAUAAAACACUUGCAACCAAACACCCGCAAAUGAGAAAUAUUAGGCUUUCUACCAAAUCUCAACUCAUAAGAGGUCACUUUCAAGGAACUCCGAAGAAAAACACGAUUUGACACAUAGCAAGCUGUACUAAUGGCUUCAUCCCAAUAACGCCGCAGUGUGCCAAAUUCAUCAAGCAUGGUCCUUGCCAUCUCCACAAGAGUUCUAUUUUUCCUUUCCACAACACCAUUUUGUUGAGGUGUGCGAGGAGAAGAAAAUUGGUGCUCAAUUCCUCUCUCAGCAAGGAAAUCGGCAAAGGAAGAAUUUUUGAACUCCAAACCAUUAUCACUACGAAUAGUUUUCAUCUCACCAGGAAAUACAUUGAAUAGCCUUAAAGCCAAAUCAUGAAAAUGAUUGAAUGCUUCCGAUUUAUGAUCCAUAAAGAAAAUCCAAGAGUAUCGAGAAAAAUCAUUUACGAUGACAAGCACGUACCACUUCCCACUAGCUGACCGGACCCGAGCUGGACCAAGUGUGUCCAUAUGUAACAAUUGAGCGGGUCUGGUUGUGUUCACCAGAUUGAUUGGAGGGUGAGAGGCAGAGACUUGCUUUCCAUGCCGGCAUGGGGCACACACAAUGUCCUUUGUGGCUUUGAGCUUAGGCAAACCUCGCAAAAGAUCAAGGCCGCCAAUUCGAAUUAGGUGGUCAAAACCAACAUGCCCCAAGCGACGAUGCCACAACUGAAACUCACUCAUCUUAGAAGAGGCCACAAAAUGAAGGAGAUAUGCCCUAGAGGCAAUAAUAAUGUUAUUAUUUUAUUUCCUUAUAUCAUGAUAAAUGUUUAUUAUUCAUGCUAGAAUUGUAUUAUCCAGAAACAUAAUACUUGUGUGAAUACAUAGACAAACUAAAACAUCACUAGUAUGCCUCUACUUGACUAGCUCGUUAAUCAAAGAUGGUUAUGUUUCCUAACCAUAGACAUGUGUUGUCAUUUGAUUAACGGGAUCACAUUAUUAGGAGAAUGAUGUGAUUGACAUGACCCAUUCCAUUAGCUUAGCACCCGAUCGUUUAGUAUGUUGCUAUUGCUUUCUUCAUGACUUAUACAUGUUCCUAUGACUAUGAGAUUAUGCAACUCCCGUUUGCCGGAGGAACACUUUGUGUGCUACCAAACGUCACAACGUAACUGGGUGAUUAUAAAGGAGCUCUACAGGUGUCUCCAAAUGUAAAUGUUGGGUUGGCGUAUUUCGAGAUUAGGAUUUGUCACUCCGAUUGUCGGAGAGGUAUCUCUGGGCCCUCUCGGUAAUGCACAUCACAUAAGCCUUGCAAGCAUUGCAACUAAUGAGUUAGUUGCGAGAUGACGUAUUACGAAACGAGUAAAGAGACUUGCCGGUAACGAGAUUGAACUAGGUAUUGAGAUACCGACGAUCGAAUCUCGGGCAAGUAACAUACCGAUGACAAAGGGAACAACGUGUGUUGUUAUGCGGUUUGACCGAUAAAGAUCUUCGUAGAAUAUGUGGGAGCCAAUAUGAGCAUCCAGGUGCCGCUAUUAGUUAUUGACCGGAGACAUGUCUCGGUCAUGUCUACAUUGUUCUCGAACCCGUAGGGUCCGCACGCUUAAGGUUUCGAUGACAGUUAUAUUAUGAGUUUAUGAGUUUUGAUGUACCGAAGUUAGUUCGGAGUCCCGGAUGUGAUCACGGACAUAACGAGGAGUCUCCAAAUGGUCGAGACAUAAAGAUUGAUAUAUUGGACGACUAUAUUCGGACACCGGAAGUGUUCCGGGUGAUUUCGGAGAACACCGGUGUACCGGAGGGUUACCGGAACCCCCCGGGAGAAGUAAUAGGCCAUAUGGGCCUUAGUGGAGACAGAGAAGGGUAGCCAGGGUGGGCCGCGCGCCUCCUCCCCCUGGUCCGAAUUGGACUAGGAGAGGGGGGGGCCCUUUCCUUCUCCCUCCCCACUUCCUUCCCCCUCCUAGUAGGAGUCCUACUCCUACUAGGAGGAGGACUCCUCCUUGGCGCGCCUAUAGGGCCGGCCGGCCUCCUCCCCUUGCUCCUUUAUAUACGGGGGCAGGGGGCACCCCUAGACACACAAGUUGAUCCACGUGAUCGUUUUCUUAGCCGUGUGCGGUGCCCCCUUCCACCAUAAUCCUCGAUAAUAUUGUAGCGGUGCUUAGGCGAAGCCCUGCGACGGUAGACCAUCAAGAUCGUCACCAUGCCGUCGUGCUGACGGAACUCUUCCCCGACACUUUGCUGGAUCGAAGUCCGGGGAUCGUCAUCGAGCUGAACGUGUGCUAAAACUCGGAGGUGCCGUAGUUUCGGUGCUUGAUCGGUCGGGCCGUGAAGACGUACGACUACAUCAACCGCGUUGUGCUAACGCUUCCGCUGUCGGUCUACAAGGGUACAUAGAUCACACUCUCCCCUCUCGUUGCUAUGCAUCACCAUGAUCUUGCGUGUGCAUAGGAAUUUUUUUGAAAUUACUAUGUUCCCCAACAGUGGCAUCCGAGCCUAGGUUUUAUGUGUUGAUGUUAUAUGCACGAGUAGAACACAAGUGAGUUGUGGGCGAUAUAAGUCAUACUGCUUACCAGCAUGUCAUACUUUGGUUUGGCGGUAUUGUUGGACGAAGCGGCCCGGACCGACAUUACCCGUACGCUUACGCGAGACCGGUUCUCCCGACGUGCUUUGCACAAAGGUGGCUAGCGGGUGUCAGUUUCUCCAACUUUAGUUGAACCGAGUGUGGCUACGCCCGGUCCUUGCGAAGGAUAAAACAUCACCAACUUCACAAACUAUCGUUGUGGUUUUGAUGCGUAGGCAAGAUUGGUUCUUGCUUAAGCCUGUAGUAGCCACGUAAAACUUGCAACAACAAAGUAGAGGACGUCUAACUUGUUUUUGCAGGGCAUGUUGUGAUGUGAUAUGGUCAAGACAUGUUUCUAAAUUUUAUUGUAUAAGAUGAACAUGUUUUGUAACCAAGUUAUCGGCAACUAGCAAGAGCCAUAUGGUUGUCGCUUUCUUGUAUGCAAUGCAAUUGUGCUGUAAUGCUUUACUUGAUCACUAAGCGGUAGCGAUAGUCGUGGAAGCAUAAGGUUGGCAAGACGACAACGAUGCUACGAUGGUGAUCAAGGUGUCGCGCCGGUGACGAUGGUGAUCACGACGGUGCUUCGAAGAUGGAGAUCACAAGCACAAGAUGAUGAUGGCCAUAUCAUAUCACUUAUAUUGAUUGCAUGUGAUGUUUAUCUUUUAUGCAUCUUAUCUUGCUUUGAUUGACGGUAGCAUUUUAAGAUGAUCUCUCACUAAUUAUCAAGAAGUGUUCUCCCUGAGUAUGCACCGUUGUGAAAGUUCUUCGUGCUGAGACACCACGUGAUGAUCGGGUGUGAUAGGCUCUACAUUCAAAUACAACGGGUGCAAAACAGUUGCACACACGGAAUACUCAGGUUAUACUUGAUGAGCCAAGCAUAUACAGAUAUGGCCUCGGAACACGGAGAUCGAAAGGUCGAGCGUGAAUCAUAUAGUAGAUAUGAUCACCAUAGUGAUGUUCACCAAUGAAACUACUCCAUCUCAUGUGAUGAUCGGACAUGGUUUAGUUGAUUUGGAUCACGUAAUCACUUAGAGGAUUAGAGGGAUGUCUAUCUAAGUGGGAGUUCUUUAGUAAUAUGAUUAAUUGAACCUAAAUUUAUCAUGAACUUAGUACCUGGUAGUAUCUUGCUUGUUUAUGUUUGAUUGUAGAUAGAUGGCCCAUGCUGUUGUUCCGUUGAAUUUUAAUGCGUUUCUUGAGAAAGCAAAGUUGAAAGAUGAUGGUAGCAAUUACACGGACUGGGUCCGUAACUUGAGGAUUAUCCUCAUUGCUGUACAGAAGAAUUACGUCCUGGAAGCACCUCUGGGUGUCAGGCCUACUGCUGGAGCAACACCAGAUGUUAUGAACGUCUGGCAGAGCAAAGCUGAUGACUACUCGAUAGUUCAGUGUGCCAUGCUUUACGGCUUAGAAUCAGGACCUCAACGACGUUUUAGAACGUCAUGGAGCAUAUGAGAUGUUCCAGGAGUUGAAGUUAAUAUUUCAAGUAAAUGCCCGGAUUGAGAGAUAUGAAGUCUCCAAUAAGUUCUAUAGCUGCAAGAUGGAGGAGAACAGUUCUGUCAAUGAGCAUAUACUCAAAAUAUCUGGGUAUAAUAAUCACUUGAUUCAAUCAGGAGUUAAUCUUCCAGAUGAUUGCGUCAUUGACAGAAUUCUCCAAUCACUACCACCAAGCUACAAGAGCUUCGUGAUGAACUAUAAUAUGCAAGGGAUGAAUAAGACUAUUCCCGAGCUCUUCGCAAUGCUGAAAGCUGCGGAGGUAGAAAUCAAGAAGGAGCAUCAAGUGUUGAUGGUCAACAAGACCACUAGUUUCAAGAAAAAGGGCAAAGGAAAGAAGAAGGGGAACUUAAAAAAAACAUCAAGCAAGUUGCUACUCAAGAGAAGAAACCCAAGCCUGGACCUAAGCCUGAAACUGAGUGCUUCUACUGCAAGCAGACUGGUCACUGGAAGCGGAACUGCCCCAAGUAUUUGGCGGAUAAGAAGGAUGGCAAGAUGAACAAAGGUAUAUGUGAUAUACAUGUUAUGUAUGUGUACCUUACUAAUGCUCGCAGUAGCACCUGGGUAUUUGAUACUGGUUUUGUUGCUAACAUUUGCAACUCGAAACAUGGAUUACGGAUUAAGCGAAGAUUGGCUAAGGACGAGGUGACAAUGCGCGUGGAAAAUGGCUCCAAAGUCGAUGUGAUCGCGGUCGGCACGCUACCUCUACAUCUACCUUCGGGAUUAGUAUUAGACCUAAAUAAUUGUUAUUUGGUGCCAGCGUUAAGCAUGAACAUUAUAUCUAGAUCUUGUUUGAUGCGAGAUGAUUAUUCAUUUAAAUUAGAGAAUAAUGGUUGUUCUAUUUAUAUGAGUAAUAUCUUUUAUGGUCAUGCACCCUUAAAAAGUGGUCUAUUGAACAUAUAAACCCUGAAGAAGUGGUAGUCACAACGAAGCCAGCCACAUCGCCUUUAAAUCGCUGCUACCACCGCCUGUAAUUUUUGUUCCCCGCCGAGGGCAUUUUGGUCUUUUCACGUGCAGGGGUAUAAAUCGGGCGGCGGGCGCCGUAGCAGCGAGUGGUCCAAACCUAGCCCCCAAUCUCCUUCUGCCCCGAGCCCCGCUCCAUCUCCGCCUGUGUAGUUCGCCACCGCCAUGCCCCUGCUCGUCCCACGCCCCUGCUCCUCCCCUUGGUUUCUCUCCUCUUCUAGCUGUCUCUCCUCUAGCCGCAUCGUUGACCAUCUCCCUACCUAUUUAUCCCAUCCCUGCAAGGCAGUGCCUCCCCACGUUCUCGAUCCGGCGUUGCCAUGCACGGUGGUUUCGCCUCCCCAUGUUCUUGAUCUGGUGUUGCUGUGGGUAGGUCACACUAUGGUAGAGUAGGGGCGGUGUGAUUUCCGUGAUGGAUAUGGAGGACGAGGGCCAGGGGGAGGGUGGGCAGGACGGACAUGGGGAAGGAGCUGCGAGGCUGGAGAUCCAGCGGCGCUCGGGUCAUGGUGGUGUGGGGCCGACCAUCACUCCCGACCGCUGGUUGUCGUUCCUCAUCCCCAAUCUAGGCUGUACAUGUUUGGCCCUGCCAUCUUCUUCUUCCUCCCAAGUCUUUGCCUCUUGAUUUCUUUGGUUCCUGAUUUUGAUUUCUCGAUUUACAAUUUUCCUGAACAUGAUAUGUGUAGAUCUUAUGAAGAAGAGAAGAGGGAGGAUCUUGAGGAAGAGUCCAGAACAAGGUGAAACUUCUCUUGUGGACCCUGUUUUUGGCACAAUACAUUGGGAGCAGGUAUGUUUUGUCCAUACUCGUUCUUCUUUUUUCAUGUCGUGUUCAACCUGUUUGAUAUUGGUACCCCUGGGAAAUAUUCCCAACUUGCCUUGUAUGGUUAAUUCGUUAUGGAUCUCCAGUGCAGAUUUGUUGCUGCUGGAAUGGAUAAUGGUUAGUAUGACAUGAUAGUUUGUUGCCAUUGGAAUGAUCUGCUUUUAUAUGCUAUUAGCAAGAGUGAUACUUUUAAAUUUUGUUCACUUGUGUCCUUCGAUUCAACACAUGCUAAUGUGAAGUUGUAACUUUUUAGAAAAACAAAAGCAGAAUGAAGCUAUGGUUUUACUUGCAGCUUGGUUUUCACAUUCUUCCCAGGUUAAUCUUCACUAUUUUCUUUGGCUCAACUUUAUGUUGCCUUUGCUUUGUACACACCUCAUUAAAACUGAAUCAAGAGGCAUUAUAUUUGUGUAGAUGGUGCCCGCCAUCCCAGUAUGCCUCCCCUCAUUCUGAUGCUUUCGACCCGCCCACAUGCAUUGUAACUUCUUCCUGCUUGUUCUUUGAUUUUUCUGCUCAACCCACACUUUUGUUUAUGCUCCUUGGGUGUGCAAUGUGCUCAAUCUACCCUUUUAGCUAUUUUGCUUGAUGGUCGAUACAUAUGCAAAAGGAGAGGUGGUAGAUAUAGAUGUGAAAGGAGAGGUGUUGACUUUGGAACCGGCUUUCUAACAUAAAUAACUCCAUAUGAAGAUGAAUUGUAAGGACACAACGAUAAUUAUGUCUGGUGACAUGCUGACAUAGCCGUUACCUCCUGUCGUGCUUCACCGGUUUGGCCCAUCUUGUCAUAAUGUGUUUGGAUUAGAGAGUGGCUUCAUCGGCUUUAGAUCCAUGGUCUCAAUAGUUUUGUUGUUCCUGGAUUAUAUCUUAUUGCUAGCUGCAUUGCUUUUGCUCUUUGGUGGGCCUUCAUUAUUUAUGGGGUAUAAUUUGGAGCUAGUCUUUCUAUAGUUUUGGUGUGUCAGAUAAGACGUUGAUGGCUAGCUAUGCUUUGCUUAUAGUUCAGAACUUCAGAUGCCUAUGAGUUAUGAUACCUUCUGUUUUGGUUGUAAUGCCUGACCAUAGAGAGAGGAACAUCGGACAUUGAGGAUUGCGGUGGCUGAUUUUUUAAUUUGUGUUUGCCUCAAGGAUUCUCAUUUAUCUUAACUUCCAUUUACUCAAGACAAUUACAACAUUGGUAGAUAAACUUCUAUUUUCUUAUGUUCUUUGUUAUAUGAUACAUCCCAACAGAACUGAAGCAACUAAUUUAUUCAUGAAAAUGGUUGGUUUAAAUCUCGAAAGCUCAUACCGACAUGGCUUUUUUCACAGCUUCAUGACGAACUAAAAUAAAAGCUUAUGAUAGAAGAAACAUGCUUGGAUAGGCGUCCUUGUUGACCUCGCAGUCUCCAACCCAUCCUUAGGUAUUGCAGCUCCUUCCAAUCCAGUUUACUCCUUUUUGACAAUUUUCUUACUUGAGCCUUGGAGAUAUGCACUGAAUCGGCUAAUGUUUUCUCUGGGAAUUUCCUUUUGUAGAGAGGAUGUCUUCCCGAAUGUAGUUUUUAGUUCUUGAUCUUUUUUAUACAAGAUAUCUAAAUACUGUAAUAACUCUUGCUGGGAAGAAGGUUGUCAUAUAAGGGGAAAACUUUAGAAGUUACGCGAUGUUAUUAUUUUAUUUACUUAUAUCAUGAUAAAUGUUUAUUAUUCAUGCUAGAAUUGUAUUAUCCGGAAACAUAAUACUUGUGUGAAUACAUAGACAAACUAAAACGUCACUAGUAUGCCUCUACUUGACUAGCUCAUUAAUCAAAGAUGGUUAUGUUUCCUAACCAUAGACAUGUGUUGUCAUUUGAUUAACGGGAUCACAUUAUUAGGAGAAUGAUGUGAUUGACAUGACCCAUUCCAUUAGCUUAGCACCCGAUCGUUUAGUAUGUUGCUAUUGCUUUCUUCAUGACUUAUACAUGUUCCUAUGACUAUGAGAUUAUGCAAAUUCCGUUUGCCGGAGGAACACUUUGUGUGCUACCAAACGUCACAACGUAACUGGGUGAUUAUAAAGGAGCUCUACAGGUGUCUCCAAAGGUAAAUGUUGGGUUGGCAUAUUUUGAGAUUAGGAUUUGUCACUCCGAUUGUCAGAGAGGUAUCUCUGGGCCCUCUCGGUAAUGCACAUCACAUAAGCCUUGCAAGCAUUGCAACUAAUGAGUUAGUUGCGAGAUGAUGUAUUACGAAACGAGUAAACAGACUUGCCAGUAACGAGAUUGAACUAGGUAUUGAGAUACUGACGAUCGAAUCUCAGGCAAGUAACAUACCGAUGACAAAGGGAACAACAUGUGUUGUUAUGCGGUUUGACCGAUAAAGAUCUUCGUAGAAUAUGUGGGAGCCAAUAUGAGCAUCCAGGUUCCGCUAUUGGUUAUUGACCGGAGACAUGUCUCGGUCAUGUCUACAUUGUUCUCGAACCCGUAGGGUCCGCACGCUUAAGGUUUCGAUGACAGUUAUAUUAUGAGUUUAUGAGUUUUGAUGUACCGAAGUUAGUUCGGAGUCCCGGAUGUGAUCACGGACAUAACGAGGAGUCUUGAAAUGGUUGAGACAUAAAGAUUGAUAUACUGUACGACUAUAUUCGGACACCGAAAGUGUUCCGGGUGAUUUCGGAGAAAACCGGAGUACUGGAGGGUUACCGAAACCCCCCUGGGAGAAGUAAUGGGCCAUAUGGGCCUUAGUGGAGAGAGAGAAGGGCAGCCAGGGUGGGCCGCACGCCCCCCUGGUCCGAAUUGGACUAGGAGAGGGGGGGGCGGCGCCCCCCUUUCCUUCUCCCUCCCCACUUCCUUCCCCCUCCUAGUAGGAGUCCUACUCCUACUAGGAGGAGGACUCCUCCUUGGCGCGCCUAUAGGGCCGGCCGGCCUCCUCCCCUUGCUCCUUUAUAUACGGGGGCAGGGGGCACCCCUAGACACACAAGUUGAUCCACGUGAUCGUUUUCUUAGCCGUGUGCGGUGCCCCCUUCCACCAUAAUCCUCGAUAAUAUUGUAGCGGUGAUUAGGCGAAGCCCUGCGAUUGUAGAACAUCAAGAUCGUCACCACGCCGUCGUGCUGACGGAACUCUUCCCCGACACUUUGCUGGAUCGAAGUCCGGGGAUCGUCAUCGAGAUGAACGUGUGCUAAAACUCGGAGGUGCCGUAGUUUCGGUGCUUGAUCAGUCGGGCCGUGAAGACGUACGACUACACCAACCGCGUUGUGCUAACGCUUCCGCUGUCGGUCUACAAGGGUACGUAGAUCACACUCUCCCCUCUCGUUACUAUGCAUCACCAUGAUCUUGCGUGUGCGUAGGAUUUUUUUUGAAAUUACUACGUUCCCCAACACAAAACACCGUGGACCAGAGGACAAAAGCACUCCAAAAUCAGCAUCAAAGAUUUUACCAACAUGAGAAAUACCAAAAACAAGAUCACCAGUAGAGUCAAGAACACGAGAAGCAAAUUUCUUGAAAUGAACCUCAGAACCCUCAUCAAGAAGCUGUGGAACUGAAAUCAAAUUAUAACUCAACUUACUUACAAGGGCUACAUCCUUGAGAAGACAGUUCUCGUUGACUCGGAUUGUUCCUUUGGCCACAAUGCAACCCUGUGCAUCAUUCCCAAAAGUGAUAUUUUCAUCACCAGACGCUUUGCAGAGGGAGGCGAACCAUUUGGUAUCACCAGUCAUGUGGCGUGAACACCCAGAGUCAAUAAGCCACUUGUUCGCCAAACCCUCACAACCAACCUACACAAAAGAGCGACAACGAAGUGACUCAGUACUGGGAUUAGUAAGUAAACAUUUUUUAAUCCAGUACUGGGUCACUCCCUUUGCAGGAGUAGAAAUACAUGUGUUAUUAGCAUGCGAUGCAAGGCCAUCUUGAUACCUACAAUUUUGUUGACCUCUACCCUUAGUAAAUCGGGCUAUGGAAGCGGUCUCGUUGGAUUUAAAAUAGUCUCUCCUACCCGAGCCAUGCAAGUAUUCACUCCGACAAUGUGUGUUAGAAACAUGCAGCGCACGAGCCUGUCGUUGCAUGCCCCUAAGAGCACGUAUACGAGAUCUACGUUCAUCUCUAAGUUUUUUGAAGCAAAACUCAGUAAGGUGUCUAGUCUUGUGGCAAUAGGUGCACUGGUAAACUAUUCUCUCUUUUUCAGCAUGAGAACCAGUGGAAGGAGAAGUACCCUUGUCAUUUGGACUCGUGGGAAAAAGUCCCACAGACUGAAAAACUGUCGCUCUCUCAUCCUCACAGACCAAGAUAGCUCCAUCACUUCGAAUGCCUAUGGGUUCUGGAGGGUUGUUCCUAGAAUCUUCCACAAAGUCAAAACCAAGACCUAGACCUUUACUCACCUUUGACUUAUCUAAAAUCAUGUUUAAUCUUUUCUCACCACUUGAGAGCUUUUCUAGGGUCGUCUUGAGGUAAACUACUUCUUUUGCAUAGGAAGCACAUGAUAAACACUCUUUUAAGAAGGACACCCUCACAGCUCUCCCAUAUCUAUCCUUGUAGGCCUGAAUCUCAAGUUUUAAUCCCUCACAAGACACACAAUCUACACUCACAGGAUUUGCAACACCCUUGCCAAACCUGACCAGAAACGCUUCAUGCAUUGCAACAAGAUCAUUCUCAAGUAUGGUACAAAAGGUACAAGCAGUAACAGAACUAGAAGAAGCAUCACAAGAAUCAGUAGGUUUCUUAGAAUUUGAAACUUUAACAAGAUCAUAUUUCUUAUAGAGUUCACUGAGAUGAGCUCCCAAUUCCUCAACUUCUUCUUCGAGUUUAGGACAAUUUACACAAUUUUUAGGAGCAUGCACAUCUAGGAUCAUUUGAUUGAACUUUUUAACCCUAUCAUCAAAGUAUUUGCACUUCAAACAAGAAGGAGGAUUCUCUGCAUCAAAAAGCAUGUGUUCAAGAUUCUUAAUUUUAGCAUUUAAUUUAUCACAGUUUGGGCAGGCACAGUCUAGAACUUUAGGAACUGACAUAGGUGUAUUUUUAACACAAAGGGAGCAAGGGAUCAACUUAACAUCAUCAAGUUCAUUUCUAGUAGAUUCAAGCAACUGUGACAUACUAGCAUGAGUAUUCCUAGCAAGUUCUAAUUCAGCAUGCAACACAUCACAUCCAGCACAAUCAUCAAUAUCAUGAGAAGGCACACUAGCAGUAGCAUCCUUCAGUGUAGUGAUUUCAAGUGUGAGAGAAUCAAUUUGAGAAAGAUUAUCAUUUAUGGUGCACGUACAUUUUUUAAGGACUUUUGCUUGCAUUAAAAAUAGAUUUUCAACUUUCACAUACUCAGCAUAUAAUUCAUCAUAAGACAUUUGUACCUCAUCCGUGUUGUCAUUCUCCUCAUCAGCCUCAUGAGCCAUAAAACACAUGCCGGUGAGCCGAUCAGCCUUCUUCUUCUUUGUAUCCUUCCCUUUGGGAGAAGGAGGAUCAUCCUCACCACUCUGGUCAGAGUCGAUGUCGCUUAAAUCUACUGCAAAUUGUAGACCCGAAGCGAUUGCAGCAACCAUCUUCUGAAGAUGCUUCUCAGCCUUUGGCCGGAACUUGGUUUCAUGGCGAGAGAACGACUUCUUCUUGAUGUAGUUGUUCUUGCCACCGCUAUUUUCACCAUAAUCUUUGAGAUUUGGACAAUCAGACCUAUAGUGUCCCUGCACACCACACUCAAAACAGAUUUUUGUGUGUUUGCCUUUCCUUUCUCUCACGUUUUUAUAAGCUCGAGAAAAACGACGGACAAAAAGAGCAAGAUCAUCCUCAGGCAAAGAUUCAAGUUGUUCAUCAGAGACUGAAACCAAACAAGCAAGUGAAAAACCAGAAGAUGGACCACUGCCAGACUCAAAAACACUAGAGGGACCAUGUGCAGUUUGCAUUCACUACCAACUAGUGCAAGAGUCCUGUUCCUAGGUGGGUUUCUACCUUCACUGGCUAUUUGGUGAGUUUUAAGCUUGGAGAACAACAUGUCUACAGUGAGCUCAUCAGGUUUAUGGGACUCUUGAAUAGCGAUCUUUCUCAUCUCAUAGAUUGGGUCAAGAGAGUUUAGGAUGUGUCUAUCUUUCUUAGAAUCAUUGUACACAACCCCGACACCCCUCAAUUUUCCAACUAUGACCUCAAACCUACCAAACAUGUCCUCUAGAGACUCACCAGGUAACUGCUCAAAUUUGUUGUACUCGGCUUUGUAAAUGUCCUGACGAGUUGUCUUAAUCUCACUAGUGCCCUAGUGGUAAGUGAUGAGAGUGGACCAAAUUUUGUGAGUAGUGUCUAGGUGUGCAACACGCUCAUGCUCUCUCCUAUCCAAACCUGACAAGAGAAUGUUAAUAGCUUUGGAAUUAUUUUCAACAUCAACUAUAUUCUCAGGACCAACACGAGCAGGUAUUGCAAAAUCUCGCACACCAAUUUGCCAUAUUGCAUAGCUUUGAGCUUCAAGAAAUGUUUUCAUGCGAGACUUCCAAAAUGGCCAGUCACUCCCAGAGAACAGAGGAGGACGCGACGGGUUCACAAAUGACUCCAUGGCUCAAGAGCUGAUUAAGGCUAUAGAUGAGCCGACCGGGCUCUGAUGCCAAUUGUAGGAUUGAAUGCCGGGAGUCAGAAGGGGGGUUGAAUGACGACCUUGAAAAAUUUAACCUCUUAAAUUUUUUGCACGAUAGUUACGGAAGAACUAUGAUGCUCGGAAUAGAGGAAUACACAUCGGAAACAAAAUAUGUCUGUUAAAACAGACUGAAACUAGUCCACCAAUUCUCAAGUCUUGACUUGAGAGCUCAAAGAAUAAUAAGCAUCGGAAAAGUGUACUGGAAAAAUUAGUGCUUAAUUAGACCAAGAGGUUACACGGCAAGGUUAUAGGCUAAUCAAAUGGGAGCUACUUAACCCAAAAGACUAACACGCACUAGCACAAGACACUAGUACUUAACUUGCACGUACUAGCAUAAUACUUUUUCAAUGGAGAAGAACUACACUGCCUGGAGCUGAUUUCACUAGACGAGAAUCUGCAGCACAUACAGCAGCUAGACUAGCAACUAACUGAAAUCCACGAUUUUAGUUCUACCGAUUUGGACUGACCAACUCUGCUAUCCUAAAGACGAACGACAGAUAGCUGAAGAUGAACUAAAACCUGAGAAAAUUACGCCAAGCAUAAAAAUAGAAGGGAGCGAGCCAGUAGCAUCAGCGGAUGCUCUUCCAUUCGACAGAGAACGCCAAGAAAAUUGCUAGAAAUACAACGACCCCAAAUUGAAACAAGAACAGAGGACGAACUCAGUAUGAACUCGCAC
rnacentral:lncRNA from 1 species